rnacentral:piRNA from 1 species
UACUCCAGUUCCGAGGCCUGGAGCGUGCCAU